GCCGAACACGACCAAAUGUAACGGGAACCGUAUGUCUUAUACGAAGUUAGCAACUAAAAUGGGCAAAACAAUAACAGCAAAAGGUUAGAGAGACACCGGCAAUAUGGAAAGCGUCAUACAAAAUCAUGGGAUCGUUCGUACGUGGAUCUGAUUGAAAACGCCAUAAACUACGGGUAACGAGGAAGUGGGCGGCUUUCGGCUUAAGUUUUCUUACUUGUAAUGUCCCUACAAAAAGAAAUAAAGAGGAGAUAAAUCAGGUGAUCUCGCAGGCCAUUCGAUAGCACCUCUUUUCCCAAUCCAUCUACCAGAAGACGUUUCAUCCAGAAUUUGCCGUACUAAUAAUGCAUAAUGGAAAGGAGCCUCGUCUUGCUGAAAUAUCGCAUUUUCUUCAUGGUAGCGUCUAAGUGCGUAUCCAUUUAAAUUAACUAGUAAGAAAAAUGGUCCAAUUAUGUGAUCACCAAAAAUACCAACCCAGAUGUUUAAAUUUUAAGGGUGUUGAGUAUGAACUUCAUGGUAGAUCUUUAGAUUCGCGUCGGAGCGACAAUUAUGACGAUUAACAGUACCAUUGAGAAAAAAUUAAUAUAAACUGGGUUUUCAAUA